rnacentral:rRNA from 1 species
CCUACGGGAGGCAGCAGUGGGGAAUCUUGCGCAAUGGGCGAAAGCCUGACGCAGCCAUGCCGCGUGAAUGAUGAAGGUCUUAGGAUUGUAAAAUUCUUUCACCGGGGACGAUAAUGACGGUACCCGGAGAAGAAGCCCCGGCUAACUUCGUGCCAGCAGCCGCGGUAAUACGAAGGGGGCUAGCGUUGCUCGGAAUUACUGGGCGUAAAGGGAGCGUAGGCGGAUAGUUUAGUCAGAGGUGAAAGCCCAGGGCUCAACCUUGGAAUUGCCUUUGAUACUGGCUAUCUUGAGUAUGGGAGAGGUUAGCGGAACUCCGAGUGUAGAGGUGAAAUUCGUAGAUAUUCGGAAGAACACCAGUGGCGAAGGCGGCUAACUGGCCCAUUACUGACGCUGAGGCUCGAAAGCGUGGGGAGCAAACAGGAUUAGAUACCCUGGUAGUCCACGCCGUAAACGAUGAGUGCUAGUUGUCGGCAUGCAUGCAUGUCGGUGACGCAGCUAACGCAUUAAGCACUCCGCCUGGGGAGUACGGUCGCAAGAUUAAAACUCAAAAUGAAAUUGACGG